CCUAAACCACUACUUACUGCUAUUAUCACUUUCUUAAUUUGAUCUUAAUCUUGGCUUUUGAAGAAGUUUUGGUGGAUGUUGCGUGAAGGUGGAGUUCUGAUGAUUUAUGAGUGGCCUUUUGGGCUCCUUUAGAAUGAGAUUUCUUCCUUCUCUUCAUUCCAAAUGAAGAAAGCCUCUUCUUCUUCUCUUUCUCCCUUAUCGUCUCCAGUUUGGGUUUCCAUUCGCGAGAACCAACAAGCAACCUGUAAUCCUUCUGUAACUGUGGAGUGGUGCAUACUCUGCUUCUGCUUUUACCUGACCUCUCAUCAUCCUCCUCGGACUCCUUCAUUUUGCUA
rnacentral:misc_RNA from 1 species